rnacentral:tRNA from 2 species
AGGCGCGUAGCUCAGUUGGUUAGAGCACCACAUUGACAUUGUGGGGGUCGUUGGUUCGAAUCCAAUCGUGCCUACCA